rnacentral:rRNA from 1 species
UACAGAGGUCUCAAGCGUUGUUCGGAUUCAUUGGGCGUAAAGGGUGCGUAGGUGGCGCCGUAAGUCGGGUGUGAAAUUUCGGAGCUUAACUCCGAAACUGCAUUCGAUACUGCGGUGCUUGAGGACUGGAGAGGAGACUGGAAUUCAUGGUGUAGCAGUGAAAUGCGUAGAGAUCAUGAGGAAGACCAGUGGCGAAGGCGGGUCUCAGGACAGUUCCUGACACUGAGGCACGAAGGCCAGGGGAGCAAACGGG